rnacentral:lncRNA from 1 species
UGCGUGUGCCAGUUUACAAAUGCAUGUGUGUGUGUGUGUGUGUACAUGAGGGUGUGUUGCUGUGGAUGGAUCCAGGUGUGUGUGUGUACAUGAGGGUGUGUUGCUGUGGAUGGAUCCAGGUGUGUGUGUGUGUGUGUGUGUGUGUAUGUGUGUGUGUACAUGGGGGUGUGUUGAUGUGGAGGGAUCCAGGUGUGUGUAUGUGUAUACAUGGGGGUAUGCUGCUGUGGAUGGAAUCCAGGAGUUGGCACACACUAGGCAGGCACUGUACCACUGAGCUGUUUCCCCAUCCCACCUCCUCAUCUGAUUUCUCUGAAGGCAGCAUGCUCCUGGCUACCCAGAUAUAUAAAAUGUGGGUUUUUUUUUGGGGGGGGGACAUUUACUGAGGGCCCUGAUAUGCUGGGAAAUGUUGUAGAAAGCCAGCUAGACUCCAAGCAUAAUGGCCCUUUCUUGAGCAGAGCAGCUCUGAACACUUGCUGAAGGCCCUGGAGACUGGUCCCACUGUCUGUCGCCCCAUAGAAGGAGGCUUGGAGCCACGCACUGGACCCUCACCCCAAAUCCCAGCCUCCCCGUGCUGUACCUCUGGCCAUCUGUACUUCUGCCCUAAUGGUACAGGACCUUAUGGCCUCAGGAGUACAGACUGGGGAAGGCUGGCUGAAAGGAUACCCCAUCUGUGGAGUUGUGAGGAAGCCAUCCUUUGAGCUGGGACUAGACUCCCCCCCCAAGUGGCAUGGCUGCUUUUGGGUUACCCACACCCCUACAGUAAGCCCCCAUUCAGGCCCUGUAAUAAACCCAGCAAACUCACGGGUUCCCCAGUUGGACCUUGGCAGGCUCAUACUGUGGUUUAUCAUUGGCAUCCUGGGAUGGGGGUGAGGAGGCACUUGUUCCCAUCUCCCGAGUUAAAGAGUCCAGAAGCAGAGCACAGAGAAUGAACAACACUAAAAUAUAAUCUACUAGCUGACAGAGCAACUGCUUGGCAAAGCAAUGGGGUGCAGGACCACAUCCCCGAUCCCCAUAACCCCUUGUUUCCUUAUUAAGAGAUAAAAUCUCAUUCUGUAGCACAGGCUGGCCCUCAGCUUGUGAUCCUCCUCCUCCUCCUCCUCCUCCAGCCCUCUAACUUCUGGGGUUACAGGCAUGUACCUCCAUCUUCCCCUCUCUCUUUGCUAUGGCUUCGACAGGUUUUUUUUGACUUCCAAAAAUUUUUGUCUAGUGUCAGAAUUUGAACCCUGGGUUUGGCACACACUAAGCAAGCACUCUUCCACUGAGCUACAACUCUGGCCUGUGCGGAUUUAUUAAUCUGUCUGUGAGUCAGUUAGCUCAUGUGACAAACUCACACCCUAACGUGUCCUCUUUCCCUCU